rnacentral:rRNA from 1 species
GACGAACGCUGGCGGCGUGCUUAACACAUGCAAGUCGAACGGAGAGUUUUAUUUCGGUGAAAUUCUCAGUGGCGAACGGGUGAGUAACGCGUAGACAACCUACCUCUCAGAUGGGGACAACAUCGCGAAAGCGGUGCUAAUACCGCAUGAUGUAACUUUUCUGCAUGGAAGAGUUACCAAAGGCGGCCUCUAUUUAUAAGCUGUCACUGAGAGAUGGGGCUGCGUCUGAUUAGCUAGUUGGUGGGGUAAUGGCCCACCAAGGCGACGAUCAGUAGCCGGUCUGAGAGGAUGAACGGCCACAUUGGGACUGAGACACGGCCCAAACUCCUACGGGAGGCAGCAGUGGGGAAUCUUCCGCAAUGGACGAAAGUCUGACGGAGCAACGCCGCGUGAGUGAAGAAGGUUUUCGGAUCGUAAAGCUCUGUUGUUUGAGACGAACGUGCAAUUUUUGAAUAAGGAAUUGUAAUGACGGUAUUAAACGAGAAAGCCACGGCUAACUACGUGCCAGCCGCCGCCGUAA